rnacentral:misc_RNA from 1 species
GAUUUUGGCAUAGGACUUGACGUAAUUGAAUUCUAGAAAAACACUGAAGAAAAGAAAACUAUAAGGAUAUAAACUCUUAGUUCAUCAAUUAGGGUAUUAACUAUCAAAACUACCAUGAGUUGAGGGGUAAUAGGUUAUCAUGUCAUAAAGAGUGGAACUACAAUAGAAGAUGGUAACUGACUGAUGCAAUGUAUUCUUGUCUAUGCUCUAUAGGCAU